AUUGAACGCUGGCGGAAUGCUUUACACAUGCAAGUCGAACGGUAGAGGGGGCAACCCCUCGAGAGUGGCGAACGGGUGAGUAAUAUAUCGGAACGUGCCCAGUCGUGGGGGAUAACGUAGCGAAAGUUACGCUAAUACCGCAUACGAUCUCAGGAUGAAAGCGGGGGAUCGCAAGACCUCGCGCGAUUGGAGCGGCCGAUAUCAGAUUAGGUAGUUGGUGGGGUAAAGGCUCACCAAGCCAACGAUCUGUAGCUGGUCUGAGAGGACGACCAGCCACACUGGAACUGAGACACGGUCCAGACUCCUACGGGAGGCAGCAGUGGGGAAUUUUGGACAAUGGACGCAAGUCUGAUCCAGCCAUUCCGCGUGCGGGAUGAAGGCCCUCGGGUUGUAAACUGCUUUUGUACGGAACGAAAAGGUCUCUCUUAAUACGGGGGACUCAUGACGGUACCGUAAGAAUAAGCACCGGCUAACUACGUGCCAGCCGCCGCCGUAA
rnacentral:rRNA from 1 species